AUUGAACGCUGGCGGCAUGCUUUACACAUGCAAGUCGAACGGUAACAGGCCGCAAGGUGCUGACGAGUGGCGAACGGGUGAGUAAUGCAUCGGAACGUGCCCAGUCGUGGGGGAUAACUGCUCGAAAGAGCAGCUAAUACCGCAUACGAUCUAUGGAUGAAAGCGGGGGACCGUAAGGCCUCGCGCGAUUGGAGCGGCCGAUGUCAGAUUAGGUAGUUGGUGGGGUAAAGGCUCACCAAGCCAACGAUCUGUAGCUGGUCUGAGGGGACGACCAGCCACACUGGGACUGAGACACGGCCCAGACUCCUACGGGAGGCAGCAGUGGGGAAUUUUGGACAAUGGGGGCAACCCUGAUCCAGCAAUGCCGCGUGCAGGAAGAAGGCCUUCGGGUUGUAAACUGCUUUUGUACGGAACGAAACGGUCUGGGUUAAUACCCUGGGCUACUGACGGUACCGUAAGAAUAAGCACCGGCUAACUACGUGCCAGCCGCCGCGGUAACAC
rnacentral:rRNA from 1 species